rnacentral:ncRNA from 1 species
GGCUGAUGCCAAGAUGCCCGAUGCCCAGUCCGGCUAUGAGAAAGGCAGCACCGUUGCCAUGGCCGGUCUGUCCGGGCUGAACAUGGUUUACGA